rnacentral:rRNA from 1 species
CCUACGGGAGGCAGCAGUGAGGAAUAUUGGUCAAUGGCCGUAAGGCUGAACCAGCCAAGUCGCGUGAAGGAAGAAGGAUCUAUGGUUUGUAAACUUCUUUUAUAGGGGAAUAAAGGUAUCCACGUGUGGAUAUUUGCAUGUACCCUAUGAAUAAGCAUCGGCUAACUCCGUGCCAGCAGCCGCGGUAAUACGGAGGAUGCGAGCGUUAUCCGGAUUUAUUGGGUUUAAAGGGUGCGUAGGUUGUUUUUUAAGUCAGCGGUGAAAGUUUGUGGCUGAAACAUAAAAUUGCCGUUGAAACUGGAAGACUUGAGUGUGUUUGAGGUAGGCGGAAUGCGUGGUGUAGCGGUGAAAUGCAUAGAUAUCACGCAGAACUCCGAUUGCGAAGGCAGCUUACUAAGCCAUAACUGACACUGAAGCACGAAAGCGUGGGGAUCGAACAGGAUUAGAUACCCCAGUAGUC